rnacentral:lncRNA from 1 species
UGGACCCCGUCAAGCAGGCGGAGAUUGACCAGAAGAUGAAGGACCUGGACGGCACUGACAACAAGGGCAAGCUGGGUGCCAACGCCAUCCUGGCCGUCUCCAUGGCCGUGUGCAAGGUGCGCCCCUUCACGCAUGCACCGGUCUUCCUACGGGGGCUGAAAUACUGGUCAGAUCUAUACAUACAGGCAAUAUGAAGGUCUACCAUGGUUCCCGAAAUGAUGUUCCCUGCACUGCCUGCUUGGAAACUCCCCAGGCCGGUGCCGCUGAGAAGGGCGUGCCCCUGUACAAGCACAUUGCGGACCUGGCCGGCAACAGCAAGCUGGUGGGUGUGUGUGAAGGGGCUGCUGGGGGCGGGCGGAUCAAGGCCAGGGGUCAGCAGACUGUUGUUGAAGCCCUCGCAAUGACAGCAUUCACAUCGUCCGACUGAUCUGAAUCGGUUGUCCCUGGCUGACACGAGUACAUCCCGCCCACCUACCGCCCCUGGACAGAUCCUGCCCGUGCCCUCGUUCAACAUCAUCAACGGCGGCAGCCACGCCGGCAACGCCCUGGCUAUGCAGGAGUUCAUGAUCCUGCCCGUUGGGUGAGUACAGUGAGUGUAGGCAGGCGCCCACGUACCAUGGCUGUGGCCUUCUGUACCCACGUCCCGCGUAUAGCGUCAACAAUAAGCCCAAAGCUUUGCUGGGAACCGUUGCGCGGCAGUGUAAACUACUAGUAUGGCGGUCCAGCGCCUUCCGCGUGCAGGGCUUCUCCACCAGAACUGGGCCAGCUAGUGACACGGCUGUACCCCCUAUCUUUCCUCGCGCAGCGCCUCGAGCUUCUCUGAGGCCAUGCGCAUGGGCUGCGAGGUGUACCACGCCCUGAAGGGCCUGAUCAAGGCCAAGUACGGUGAGUGUGCCUUGGCAAGUAUAGGGCAAAGUGGAAGUCUGGGAGUUUGGGGCUCGCAUGAGAAGUCAGCGGCCUGCUCUACAGGUGUGAGCUGUCGUCCAGCGCCGCCGGAUACAUUAGAAAGUAGAGAUGUAUGCGGAACGGCACGUGAGGGUGCAGGCGGGAGCGGGGGGUUCUAUUCGAGCAUGCAUGUUCGAUGCGUACCCACCGCCUAUGUCAUCUGGUGGGUUCCGAACCACAGGCCAGGACGCCUGCAACGUGGGUGAUGAGGGUGGCUUCGCCCCCAACAUCGGCUCCAACGAUGAGGGCCUGAACUUGGUGAACGAGGCCAUCGAGAAGGCCGGCUACACCGGCAAGGUGCGCUACGAGAGCGCGAGUGCAUGCGUAAAAGGGGCGCGUUGCGGAGCAGGAGAGCAUGCAGGAGGCAGGGGCAGAGGGACCAGCCGGCGGCACACAACAAGCUGCGGAAGGAUCCUCUACCCUGCAGCGCAAGAAGGAAGUGAAGGUUCCCCCUGCAAAUUGAACAUUGCUUGACACUGGAACUGCGCA